GGCGGGCGCGGGUCAGUAUACGGAAUCCUGCGCUCCCAGGUGUCGGUUCCCACGUGGGAGGACUCUGUCCUUCCUGAGAGGAGGAAAUGACCGAGUUCCAGCGUGUGGCCUGUAGACUGGUGCCGGCCCACAAACUGCUUGUUACCAGUCUGCAAAGACAUAAGGAAAUUGAGAGAACCAGUAACAUUCAAGGAUGUCUCUGUGGACUGCACUGAGGAACAGUGGGGUUGCUUGCACCCUACUCAGAGGAAGCUGCACAGAGCUGUGAUGCUGCAGAACUACAGCCACUUGGUCUAGAUAUGACCUCUCAGUUGGAGGAAGGUGAAGUUGAAGAUCAUUAUAUAAUGGAGAAUGAACUCCAAAGGAAUCAGCUAAGCAUCAUGGCAAAUUGCAAGCCAGGCUAAUCCGUGAGAGAGGAGUUCCUUUGUCAGUGUGCCGGGAGUUGUCUUUGAAGUUCUCUGGUUUGUGGAGAAAGUGAGGCCUCAGCUUCCACAUACUGAUCUACCUUUAUCUACUCACUCGCUCCCCCUUCUACCUGUUCAGAAGGUUGUGGUCUUUCCCGUUCACUUGACCUUCUUAUCUGUACUCUAUCUUUUCCCACACUUACCCCGCGUUGGUCUUGUACCAUCUUUCCUUAGACUUUGUUUUCAUUAAACAUCCCCCUGUCCUGCAAUA